GCUAAUUAGGGUCAAGAAGGCGCGGGAGUACGGAGGGUGGAAUGGGAAAUCGGAAGUACUGGGAGGAAAGCGUGCGCAGGCGGUGCGGAAAGAAAGAUGUGAAAUCCCAGAGCUUAACUUUGGAACUGUAUUUUUAACUACCGAGCUAGAGUGUGUCAGAGGGAGGUGGAAUUCCGCGUGUAGCAGUGAAAUGCGUAGAUAUGCGGAGGAACACCGAUGGCGAAGGCAGCCUCCUGGGAUAACACUGACGCUCAUGCACGAAAGCGUGGGGAGCAAACAGGAUUAGAUACCCUGGUAGGC
rnacentral:rRNA from 1 species